rnacentral:misc_RNA from 1 species
GAUGUGAAAGGCAACACGUGGCCAUGGAUCUAUUUUGUAUCAAUGGUGAUCUUCGGUAACUUCUUUGUCAUGAACUUAAUUCUCGGUGUCUUGUCUGGUGAAUUCUCAAAAGAAAGAGAAAAAGCGAAAAGUCGCGGUGACUUCCAGAAGUCUCGGGAGAGACAACAGUUUGAAGAAGAUCUUAAAGGUUAUUUGAACUGGAUCACAGUUGCAGAGGAAUUGGAUUUAGAAAAUGAUCCUACGCAGAAGGAGGAGAGUCAAGAUUCACAGGGUAAAAACGAUGUAAAAAGUAAUGAUGGCUCUCAAAACAAUGUGAACGUGAACGGCGAACAAACUCACACUACGACGUGUAAAGUGUAUUGCAAGAGGUUCGACAAGGUGAAUAGACGUAUGCGCAGAGCUUGUAGGAAAGCUGUCAAGUCACAAUCAUUUUAUUGGGCAAUCAUUGUUCUGGUUUUCCUGAACACACUUGUACUGGCUACCGAACAUUUUAAUCAACCAGUCUGGUUGGAUGAUUUCCAAAAUUAUGCAAACUAUCUCUUCGUCGUACUUUUCACUAUGGAGAUGUUGGUCAAGAUGUACGCGUUAGGUUUCCAGGGUUACUUCGUUUCCCUCUUCAAUCGAUUUGACUGUUUCGUCAUGGUGUGCUCCAUCGUGGAAUUGGCACUGAAUCUAACUGACACUAUCCCGCAGUUGGGUAUCUCUGUGCUUAGGUGUGUCCGCUUGCUGAGAGUCUUCAAAGUCACCAAGUACUGGCGUUCUCUAUCCAACUUAGUCGCUUCUCUACUCAACUCGAUUCAGUCCAUCUUCUCCCUCUUAUUGCUUCUUUUCCUUUUCAUCAUGAUAUUUGCAUUACUCGGUAUGCAAGUCUUCGGUGGCAGGUUUGAUUACAAGCCAGAAGAGGUGAAGGAGAGACAUAACUUCGAUACAUUUUGGCAGGCAGUACUCACAAUGUUUCAGAUCCUAACAGGUGAAGACUGGAACGUAGUGAUGUACGAAGGCAUCAAUGCGUACGGCGGCGCCGGCACGCCUGGAAUGUUGGCCUCUAUAUAUUUCAUUGUCAUUUUCGUUUGUGGUAAUUAUAUUCUACUGAACGUGUUCUUGGCUAUCGCUGUUGAUAAUUUAGGUGAUGCUGAAGAAAUGGACGCCGAAGAAAUUGAAAAGGACAAAGCGGAUGCUGAUAAUCCGGAAGCAGGCAAUCCACAAUUAGAUGAAGAGAGAGGGGAGACUGAUGAUGAAUACGUGAAUGAUGAAGAAGGAUAUUCCAGUGAAGGCCGGAAAUACAAAAGAUAUAAAAGAGUUGCCAGAUCAGAGCAUGAAUAUGAAGAAACGGGCUCUGAAGAGGAUGUGGAAGAGCAGGAACCGGAAGAAAGGGAUAAUGCUGAUGAAGCACUCGUUGCCAUAGAUAAAAUACAGAACGGAGACGUAAAAAAGGAAGACCCUGAGUCGUUGAAACGGCAACCGACCAUAUCGGCCCGACCGCGUCGACUGUCUGAAGUGGAGAUCAAAAGUCAGGAGAAACCAAUACCAGAGGGCAGCAGUUUCUUUAUAUUCUCCAAGAAUAACUGGCUUCGUGUUUCGUGUUACAAGCUACAGAAUAAUUCUUGGUUCAAAAAUUUGAUCCUAGUUUGUAUUUUGGCGUCGUCUCUCAUGUUAGCCAUGGAGGACCCUGUUGGCGGGAAAGGGUCAGAAUUGAAGACUGAGACGCUACGCAAAAUAGACUAUUUCUUCACCACGGUGUUCACGUUAGAGCUGGUCCUCAAACUGAUCACAUACGGCUUCAUAUUGCACAAGGACGCAUUUUGCCGGUCGGCUUUCAACUUGCUCGACAUGUUGGUCGUGAUUGUCUCGCUUAUAUCGCUGAGUGGGUCCAGUAAUGUGUCUUUUAUAAAAAUUUUGAGGGUAUUCCGUGUAUUGAGACCUCUGAGAGCCAUCAACAGAGCGAAAGGACUUAAGCACGUAGUACAGUGCGUGAUCGUUGCUAUAAAAACGAUCGGCAACAUUCUGUUGGUGACAAAUCUACUACAAUUUAUGUUUGCCGUCAUGGGGGUGCAAAUGUUCAAGGGAAAAUUCUUUAGAUGCACCGAUGUUACAAAAUUGACAUACGAAGAUUGUCGGGGUACAUAUCUAGUGUACAAUGGUGGGAAAGCGUCCAUUGAGGACAGAGUUUGGAAAAAGAAUAAAUUCAAUUUUGACGAUGUACUGAGCGGCAUGCUUACUCUGUUCACCGUAUCGACCUUCGAGGGAUGGCCAAAUUUACUUUCAACGUCUAUGGAUUCGAACGAGGAGAACUACGGCCCCAUAGAAAAUUCUAGACCCCUUGUUGCAUUCUUCUAUAUAAGUUAUAUUAUCGUUAUAGCGUUCUUCAUGGUGAACAUCUUCGUAGGUUUCGUCAUAGUUACAUUCCAGAAAGAGGGCGAGCAGGAGUUCAAGGAUUGCGAACUGGACAAGAAUCAAAGGAACUGCAUAGAAUUCGCACUGAAAGCAAAACCAAUUAGAAGGUAUAUCCCCAAACAUCGGAUCCAGUACAAGACUUGGUGGUUCGUGACGUCACAGAAGUUUGAAUACUUCAUAUUCUUCUUCAUCGUGUUGAACACAGUGGCGCUGAUGAUGAAGUUCGACGGAGCCUCACCGGAGUACAAGAAGGUUCUGGACUAUCUAAACAUGAUUCUGACGACUGUUUUCAUGUUGGAAUUUGUUUUUAAAUUGGCAGCCUUCAGAUUCAAGAAUUACUUCGGCGACGCGUGGAACACAACUGAUUUUAUUUUAGUCAUCGGCAGUAUCAUUGACAUAGUCGUCACUCAGGUCAAUGAGAACAAACCGGUUACCGUGUUUACUACAAGUAAAGCGAGUAAAGAGGGCAGUCUUCUAAAAUACAUCACAUUCUUCCGUCUGUUCCGCGCGAUGCGUCUGAUCAAGUUGCUGUCCCGAGGGGAGAGGAUCCGAACCCUCCUGUGGACGUUCAUUAAAUCGUUCCAAGCGCUGCCCUACGUCGCCCUGUUGAUUGUGCUGCUGUUCUUCAUCUACGCUGUUGUUGGGAUGCAGUUAUUUGGUAAAAUCAAUUUUGAUGACGAUCAGAUCACGAGGCAUAACAACUUUCAAUCGUUCGGCAGCGCUCUUAUGGUCUUAUUUAGAUCAGCUACAGGUGAAGCCUGGCAAGAGAUUAUGAUGGCAUUAUCCCCCAACAUCGACGAACGUCCCGAUGAUCCACCAAAGUGCAUAAAGUCAGAGCCCAUAGACGGCGUCCCAAACACUGACAAUGGGGACGAAUUGUGCGGCAAUUGGAUGGCGUUCCCCUACUUCAUAUCAUUCUCUUUGCUUUGUACUUUCCUGAUUAUCAACUUGUUCGUAGCCGUCAUCAUGGACAAUUUCGAUUAUCUAACGAGAGAUUGGUCCAUAUUAGGACCCCAUCAUCUAGACGAGUUUGUCAGAUUGUGGAGUGAAUACGAUCCGGAUGCAAAAGGAAGAAUAAAACACUUGGAUGUCGUUACUUUAUUAAGAAAAAUUAGUCCGCCUUUGGGUUUCGGUAAACUGUGUCCACAUAGAACAGCGUGUAAACGUCUCGUGUCAAUGAACAUGCCCCUAAACUCUGAUGGCACGGUCAAUUUUAACGCCACACUAUUUGCUGUUGUUCGAACCCAGCUGCAGAUAAAGACUUCAGGUGUAAUAGACGAAUGUAACACGGAACUACGAGCCAUCAUUAAAAAAGUAUGGAAACGGACAUCUCCUAAACUUCUGGACCAGGUAGUGCCUCCACCUGGUGAUCCCAAUGAGAUCACAGUUGGCAAGUUCUAUGCUACCUUCCUUAUUCAAGAUUACUUUAGAAGGAACCAUGCGUUCAGAAAGCGCAAGGAACAAGCGGCGGCAGCGUCCUUACAGAACAACCAGAUGACAUUGCAGGCUGGUUUGAGGACCUUGCACGAAGCUGGUCCUGAGCUCAAAAGAGCCAUAUCAGGAAACUUGGACGAGGUUGUUGCAGAAACUGUCGAACCAAUGCAUAGGCGUAACCAUACAUUGUUCGGUUCUGUAUGGACGACAAUCAAACGACACGGUCGGGAGAGUAUCUACGGACGAGAUAGGAAAAAUCCACCGCCUUCAGUCAAAUUGAAAAUGCCUAUCGCCAUUUCAGGUGAGAAGGAAAAUCAAAAUUUGAGCGCAAUGAUGAGGAGAGAACUAGGUAUGGACGGGAAGAUACCAGAAGAAGAGAUGAGAUAUGAAGAAGUAAACCAGAGCGAUGGCGAUGAAGAAAUAGCGAUGCAGCCUCUUCUUCACGGCAAGGACUCUGAGAGGAUAUUUAAAGCUAUCGAAUCGUGACAAAACACCGAGUCAGAACAACAACGUGCCUUAUUGUGUCGAGAAUCCAGCGGAGAAUCUUAUUACACGAGUACUGACGGAGCAGGGCCUCGGCAAGUAUUGUGAC